UUAAGAAAAUCCGAGUUGGUAUAUUAAAACGAAGUGAUGCCGUGGAUUCGUCUAAAGAAUACAAUGUGGUGGCGACCAAGCAUCCAGAAUACCAUCCUCCGGUGAAAUAUCAUGAUAUAGCAUUACUACAGACUGACAGAGAUAUAGAACUUAACAAGUACGUCGUGCCAGCGUGUCUUCAUGAUGGCGGCGCGGACAUAUUCAAGAACAGCGCCAUCGUUACCGGUUGGGGAACGACGGUUUAUAAAAGUCGGGAUUUCUCGGAUGUACUCCAAAAGGCAAGAGUCGAGAGAUUUGAAAGUGUCGAAUGUGAAAAGAAGUAUAAUCAUAUCCGCCUGAUGCC